rnacentral:rRNA from 1 species
UACGUAGGGACCGAGCGUUGUCCGGAUUCAUUGGGCGUAAAGGGCGCGUAGGCGGCCUGUUAAGUCGAACGUGAAAUCCCCGGGCUCAACCCGGGAACUGCGUCCGAUACUGGCAGGCUUGAAUCCGGGAGAGGGAUGCGGAAUUCCAGGUGUAGCGGUGAAAUGCGUAGAUAUCUGGAGGAACACCGGUGGCGAAGGCGGCAUCCUGGACCGGCAUUGACGCUGAGGCGCGAAAGCCAGGGGAGCAAACGGG